UAGUCCACGCCGUAAACGAUGUGCACUAGGUCGAGGUGGGUCUGACCCCUUCUCGGCCGAAGCGAAAGUGUUAAGUGCACCGCCUGGGGAGUACGGUCGCAAGGCUAAAACUCAAAGGAAUUGACGGGGCUCACACAAGCGGUGGAGCAUGUGGCUUAAUUCGAAGCAACGCGAAGAACCUUAUCCUGGGUUUGACAUGUAUGGAUUAACCCCGUGAAAGCGGGGCCACGCCUUUUAGGUGGAACAUACACAGGUGCUGCAUGGCUGUCGUCAGCUCGUGCUGUGAAGUGUCGGGUUAAGUCCCUUAACGAGCGCAACCCUUAUCGCUAGUUGCCAGCGCGUCAUGGCGGGGACUCUAGCGAGACUGCCGGUGUCAAACCGGNGGAAGGUGGGGAUGACGUCAAGUCCGCAUGGGCCUUUAGGUCCUGGGGCUACACACGUGCUACAAUGGUCGGGUACAGAGGGGCAGGCCACUACGCGAGUAGGGAGCGAAUCCUUAAAA
rnacentral:rRNA from 1 species